CUUACCCAGAGGCCCUGGGGACAGGGUCUCGGGCUAUAGUUGGUCUCUGUUUCUUCCUGUCACAUCCACACCCCACCUGGUGGGCUCUGGGAUCCCAAAGCAGGGCCUCAAAGCCCCGCUGCUGAUGUGGCAGGGUUGUGCCAGGUCACAGAAAGUCACAUGCUGUGAUUCAGGCACAUGACGACAUCCCAUGCUUCCUGCCCCAAGACCUGGCUUCAUCAUGGACGGACCUAUGAGGAUGGUUCCAGCCUCUCCACUCAGGCAGGUUCAAGUUACAGAGUCGUCAGGUCCUGUGCAAGGUACUGGAGCUCCAAGGUGGAGGGAACAUACUCUCUGUCUUUAAGGAGUCCGUGUUUUAGCAAAGGAGCGGACACGGAAGCGCCUGUGAUUGCAUGUGAGGCUGCAGAA
rnacentral:lncRNA from 1 species